UUUUUUUUUAUUUGCCGCUUAAACUUAUAUAUAUAUAUAUUGGAUCAAAUCGUAAACCCAGGUUUACUAUACCUCUUCAGGAUAUCACCUAAAAGAUAUAAACCCUUAUUUAGUCGCAAGUCAACAACAACAACGC